CAAUUAACUCAAAUUAUGUCAAUUAGCCUAUCAGAAGCUUCUAAAGCCAUGACAUCAUUUUCUGGAAUUUUCCAAGCUGUUUAAAGGCACAGUCAACUUAGUGUAUGUAAACUUCUGACCCACUGGAAUUGUGACACAGUGAAUUAUAAGUGAAAUAAUAUGUCUGUAAACAAUUGUUGGAAAAAUUACUAGUGUCAUGCACAAAGUAGAUGUCCUAACCGACCGUCCAAAACUGUAGUUUGUUAACAAGAAAUUUGUGAAGUGGUUGAAAAACGAGUUUUAAUGAUUCCAAAGUAUAUGUAAACUUCCGACUUCAACUGUAUGUAUGUAUAUAGAAAUAUAUUUUUUUGCAAUAUACAGUUUGGGAAAUUUACAAGUAUGAUUUAAUAUAAUUUCCCUCCAUAUUUUUAAUAUGAUACAUUUUAAUCUAGCCAGAGUCACCCAAUGUCUUCCUAUGGUUUGGUUUUAAGUCUCAAGGUGGGCACAGUUUUUUUCUACUUGAUUUGAAUCCAUCCCUUACAACCUAGACAAGAUUUGUUAAAGUAUUUAGAGAAACUCUUGCUUGAUAUCAGCAUUAAGAAGCCUUAUUUUCUGAUAUUUGUAUUACUACAAAUGAAGAAUUAUUGGUUGACCCAUUAAGUUAUUCCUUUUAAUUUAUUUAAUUUAUUAAAUACAGAUACAAACAUGCCACGUAGAUCUUUUAAACUGAGCCGUGUAGACCCAUGUGAUAUAUUAUAAACCGGGUGGUUCGAGCCCUGAAUGCUGAUUGGCUGAAAGCUGUGGUAUAUCAGACCAUAUACCACGGGUAUGACAACAUUUUUACUGCUCUAAUUAUGUUGGUAACCAAUUUAUAAUAGAAAUAAGACACCGCGGGUGUUUGUGGUAUAUGGCUAAUAUACCAUGGCUAAGGGCUGCAUCCAGGCACACCUUAGCCGUGGUAUAUAUUGGGCAUAUACCACACCCCCUUUGGCCUUAUUGCUUAAUUACAAUUCAAUACUCCCCCUAUUCACUAUGCAUUUAAUUUGCGAAAAUAUAUUUUGUACAGAAUUCAACUAUAAUUUUUUACAUUUAUUUUUACAAGCAGCUCUUUCUCUAAAGAUUUCUUUUCAUAAUGUCUCCUUAUCAUGAUGAAAAGAUUACUCAGGCAAACUGUACCAGUAAAAUCUGACAGUAUUACUCUGGUCAUUACUACCACAACACUCCUCUGAAUGAUGUCACUGCUUCAAACAGCAGCUAGAAUUUCAAAGACCUUAACAAUUGUAAAGUAUAUGCAUUUUUAUAUUAAGAAAACAUUUUAGGACCUUUGUAAAUAUUUUUUAUAAUAAAAGGUGCAAAGCUUGUCAUUUUUUUAUUUUAAUUAAUUUGAUCAAAUUAAUCUUAGUAUAAAUAAAAUAAAAAAAAUGAAAUGUAUCCUUUUAUUUAAGGACCGUUUGUAAAUAUUUUAACUAGGCAAGUCAGUUAAGAACAAAUUCUUACAAUGACAGCCUGCCCCUGAACAACAGAUUUUUACCUUGUCAGUUCGGGGAUUUGAUUCAGCAACCUUUUGAUUACUGGCCCAAUGCUCUAACCACCUGUCGCCCCAAAACAGUUGUUCCCAUACCGGGAGUCGAACCCGGGCCGCCUGAGUGAAAUCCAGGAAUCCUAACCGCUAGUAUAAAGUCCCGUCCCUCUUCAGUGGACGUCAGCCCUCCUCCAAGCAAAACAGACACGUUUAUCAGCGGUCAGCGAAGGGGGACAGCCAUAACGAAAGACACGGCCUUUGAACGAAACAUUUGUACGAUUUCUUGCCUUCCUCACAUUUCAUUAAGAUGCAGUGAGAACUGAACUGUGUAAAUGACGGUCUUCUGAGAGAGCAACGACUAAUCCACAAUGCGCAGGAUAUUUUAUAAACCGAUGAGUUGGAAUCAAAUGCAGUAGCUCCAUAAUACAGGUAGAGUAGCCUAUGUGAUUUGUAUUGGUAGUAUUACUAGCAUGUUGUGUUUGAGUUUUCUAGAUAGUCGUGUCUCAACAGCACUUCAUAAAUUGUAAAUAUUAUAAUGAAAAAAAAUAUCGGGAUGCAUUAUUCAUCCUGAACUCAAGCUCAUAUUUAUUGCUUUCUUACACAUGAAAAUAUGCAUCAAUACAGUAGUUAAUUAGAUCACUGUCAACAGCGAGUCACAAGUUGCACAAGCCUAGGCAGCCGAUUUUGGGCGCUAGAGCUGCAUUAUCGUCCAGGAUUGAUGUGCCCAGCUGGUAAUACACUCAAGUGUCCCCAUUGGACCGGCUUGUACAUAAAGCAUCAUCCAUUAGCGCCCACUAUCUGCUGUCUAGGCUAAUGUUGCACAUGUAGGCCAGUACAGUAGCCUAUCAACUCACUGAACAACAUUACAAACUAGAUUUAAAACUAUAUGAAGACAAGACUCAAAUUCUGUGUAUAUUUCAUACUCAAAUGUUGAUCAGUGAAAGUGAUCAAUGUCUUUCCUGUCUAGAUCCAUGUUGGGUCAUGGCGUGAAGCGGAAACAGAGUUGUAAUGAGGCAGAGGGGCUCAAGGUCUAUUUGCCAGAGAAGGCUGAGGUCCAGGCUCAGGGUGGGUCUUCUUACCUGCCUCAUCUGCAGCAGCAGCAGCUGGUGCUCAGCCUGUGCCUGGACAAGCUACAGCGCAGUCGAGCAGAACUAAGCCUGCACCGCUCAGUGCUGCUGGUGAAUACCCUGAGGCAGAUUCAACAGGACAUGCAGAGGGGUUUGCCAGGUAGUCUUGACCUGUCAGCCCAGUCACUCUCCCCUCACCCUGAUGCACCUACCCACACAACUGACCUCUCAGACUUGCCUUUAAAUGCUGUCCACCAUGACUCUCAGAGAUGGUAUUUGGGAGGAGGAUGGCCCACUCACCUGCCCAGGGUGUGCGAGGGGGCGGCGAAGGCGUCUCCUCGCCCUCGCUGCCCCACCCUUUGUUGCCUACAUCUCCCUCACAGGACAGCUCCUCUUGGACACCCCAGAGCAUAAAGCCCUUCCGCACACCUUCGCUCUUUUGAGGGCGAGAUGGCAAACUCCCUGGGCUACCUCACGGAUCUUGCCCUGGAUGACAUCUUUGAGGACAUUGACACCUCCAUGUACGACUCCUCUGAUAUCCCCUCGGCCUUGGCCGGCUACCCAUCCUGGGUGUGCGGGGUGUCGUCCUGGGAGGACGAGGGACUAAAGAUGUGCUUUAGUUAUACCUCAGCCAGCAUGUUACAGCAGUGUCUGACCGACCUGAAUGAUCCUAGUCAACUCGUGAAACAUGUUGUUCACAUCAAGGGGUCAUGACCUGGUUGUUAAGGAUUUGGACAUCAUCAGUAUUUUUUUUCAUACGAGAACGGUUUUAUUAAGUUGACGGAGACUUGACUGUGUAUCUACAUGUAGUCAGAUGUCAGUAUUUGUUUUAUACGUACAUUGAAAUUAAAUUAUGUUUAAUAACA